UGAUGACGAGACGCUAAGGCGUUGAAGUGGUGUAUGUCAGACUUCCAAGAAAAGCUCGCAAUGUCAUAGAUAAAAAAUGCCUGUACCAUAACCGACACAGGUGGGUAGGUAGAGUAUACUAAGGGGCGCGAGAUAACUCUCUCUAAGGAACUCGGCAAAAUGACUCCGUAACUUCGGGAGAAGGAGUGCCUUAUUUAUAAGGUUGCAAUAACAAGAUCCAAGCAACUGUUUAUCAAAAACACAGGUCUCCGCUAAGUCGUAAGACGAUGUAUGGGGGCUGACGCCUGCCCAGUGCCAGAAGGUUAAAGAAGUUGGUUAGCGUAAGCGAAGCUGAUAACUGAAGCCCUGGUGAACGGCGGCCGUAACAAUAACGGUCCUAAGGUAGCGAAAUUCCUUGUCGGGUAAGUUCCGACCCGCACGAAAGGCGUAAUGAUUUGGAUACUGUCUCGGAGAGAGGCUCGGUGAAAUAGACUUGUCUGUGAAGAUGCGGACUGCCUGCACCAGGACAGAAAGACCCUAUGAAGCUUUACUGUAACUUGAAAUUGGAAUUGGACUUUGCUUGCGCAGUAUAGGUGGGAAGCGUUGAAGAUACUCUUGCGGGACUAUUGGAGCUAUCAGUGAGAUACCACUCUUGUAAUGUUAGAUUUCUAACUUUGAACCAUAAUCUGGUCAAAGAACAGUUUCAGGCGGGCAGUUUGACUGGGGCGGUCGCCUCCUAAAUGGUAACGGAGGCGUACAAAGGUUUCCUCUGAACGGAUAGAAAUCGUAUCUAGAGUGUAAAGGCAUAAGGAAGCUUGACUGUGAGACCUACAAGUCGAGCAGGGACGAAAGUCGGUCUUAGUGAUCUGACGGUACUGAGUGGAAAGGCCGUCACUCAACGGAUAAAAGUUACUCUAGGAUAACAGGCUGAUCUCCCCCAAGAGUUCACAUCGACGGGGAGGUUUGGCACCUCGAUGUCGGCUCAUCGCAUCCUGGGGCGGUAGUACGUCCCAAGGGUUGGGCUGUUCGCCCAUGAAAGCGGUACGCGAGCUGGGUUCAGAACGUCGUGAGACAGUUCGGUCCAUAUCCGGUGUAGGCGUUAGAAUAUUGAGAGGAGCCUUCUUUAGUACGAGAGGACCGAGAAGGACACACCGCUGGUGUACCAGUUAUCGUGCCAACGGUAAACGCUGGGUAGCUAUGUGUGGAGAGGAUAACCGCUGAAAGCAUCUAAGUGGGAAGCCCACCUCAAGAUGAGUAUUCUCA
rnacentral:rRNA from 1 species